rnacentral:ncRNA from 2 species
GAUAUGUUGUGCCCUGUCGGUGCCGGCCUCGCGGUCGGAUGAAAAGGGAAGCCGGUCCAGGCCAUGGGUGAACCACCCCGGCCGACUCCGGCGCUGCCCCGCAGCGGUAGUGGAAACGAAAGCCGUCAUGGCACUGGGGCGAAUGCCCUGGGAAGCGACGGCCGGUAGGUGAGGCCAGUUCCUUUUAGGAGCGACGUAAGUCGCGAUCGGAUGCGAGAAGCAUCGCGACUUACGUCGCUCCUACAAAGGCAUCGAGUCCCGUGUCCAGAGCCCGAAGACCUGCCGACAGCCGCGCGAAGCA